UCCGGUUUGAAACCGGCGGUCCCGGUAGACAUAGUAACUACCAGCGAGGGUUGCGCUCGUUGCGGGACUUAACCCAACACCUCACGACACGAGCUGACGACAGCCAUGCACCACCUGUGCACCGGCCCCGAAGGGCUGCCGUAUUUCUACGGCAUUCCAGUGCAUGUCAAGCCUUGGUAAGGUUCUUCGCGUUGCGUCGAAUUGAACCACAUGCUCCGCUGCUUGCGCGGGCCCCCGUCAAUUCCUUUGAGUUUUAGCCUUGCGGCCGUACUCCCCAGGCGGGGUGCUUAAUGCGUUAGCUUCGGCACGGACGGGGUUGAUAUCCGCCCACACCUAGUGGUCAUCGUUUACUGCUGGGACUAC
rnacentral:misc_RNA from 1 species